GCCCGAGUGGCGGAACUGGUAUACGCGCAUCACUUAAAAUGAUGUGGUCUAAACAACCAUGCCGGUUCGAUUCCGGCCUCGGGCACCA
rnacentral:tRNA from 1 species